GUGGAUGUGGCGGAAUAGGCAGACGCGCAUGGUUGAGGGCCAUGUGGGCAACCGUGCUGGUUCGAGUCCAGUCAUCCACACCA
rnacentral:tRNA from 1 species